AAACCUGAUCCGGCUUGAUGGCGUGAAUGGACACCCGAUAAGUAAGUGGAGAGAUUAAUAUCAAUGUGAAUGUAUGUUUAAGUUAGUUGUGCACCCUUGGCUACUCUAUCCAACAGAGCAGGGAGAAGGAAACGUCGGGCUGUUUGUAGGGUAAAUAGCGACGCUGGCAGGGAGGGAGAUGUUUGGCGCGUGCGAGGACGCUGCUCCGUUACACCCCCUAAACGUUAAAAUCGUGGAAAUAUUUCUCACGUUAAAUUACGAGUAAUAUUUCCACUCCAAAAUUGAUCAAAUGAUAGAAAGCUGGGAUGACCCCUCAUCUCGAGUACUGGAUAAAAGCUCUGCGAAUGGUAAUAGAAACUCAUAUUUAGUGGUUUGGUCAUUUAAGCUAGGUCUAGAGGUACGUUUCUGCGCGUGUUAAAACCGUUCGAGCGGCGACGGCUAACGGCUACACUUGUGGACACGUUACAAGUUUGGCGUCGUGUUGCUUCUUCCUACCCCAACUUGACCACAGCAGAGUUUCUUUACAAGGUGUUAAAUUGGUUUCCUUCACCUAACCAGGCGAGUUUUACCGUUUAUGUUCGUGUUUUAACGGUUUAUUGUACCAUUUUGUUUGUUGUACGUGCGCGCUAACAGGGAUUUAAGCUAGCUCUAAAGGCGCCUCUCUUUGCAAUAACUGUUUGUUUGUUAUUUUUACUUUUGUACAUUUUACUAAUUACACGGCUAUUCGGCUAGCAAUAAUGUGUUUAUCUAGCUAAAGGCUCCAAGCUUGGAUGGAAGCGUUGACUUCGAGAUUUUAGGAGUCCCAGUCCAAACAAAACAAAGUUUAUUAGUAUUAUUUGAAGUAAAUGAAAAUGGUAUUCAAUAUGAAAGUGUCACGGUGCAAUUUUUGCCCUUGAAUCAUGACAAAAAUCUGAAUUUCUCUCACAUCUUUGUCUUGGAUAAAAAAAAAUCACCAAAGGAAGAAUAAAACACCUAUUGCGCUUACACAUGUCUUUACAGGUCUGUAUUCUUGCUUUAAAAACAUGAAUUUGUUUAUAAAUGUGAAAUAUGCAGUCUGUAUUUCCCAGAAGUAGAACUGUUAAAGAUUAUGUUUACAAAUUUAGAAAAAGAAAAUGUUCUCAUUUGAUUUAAGACAAAAAACCCCUGUUUUUAAUGAGAAUUAAGUCAUAGGAAAAUCAAGUCUUAAUGUUUGGUUGGAUCAAAGUCAUGUUAUUGAAAUACAGGGGAAUAAAGUCACCUUAUUGUGAAAGUAAAGUGCUGAUUAAGUUAUAGUUUUGUUCAACAGUGAGCAGCCUUUACCUGUGUGGGAAUGAGAAACCCAGAGCAGCUUCUACUUGUGUCAGAAUGACAUGGCAGAAAUUGUAUCAGGACUCCUAAAAGAGUGCAGUCCAGUCUUUGCACCAAACUAAAAGUUUAGUGUGCUUAGUGUGGUUUAUGUGAGCAGAGUUAGCACCAUCAGUCAUCAAUCCUGGUGGUGCAUUGCGCUGGUCUGGUAGUUAUAUGCCAGUUGGACCAGACACAGCCUACAUAUAAGUUUAUCUCCAUUUGCUAGCUGUAUUACUCUCAGGCUAGAGGUGCACUUAGUCAUUAUGCUUGUUUACAUCCAGGUAGUUGAACAUUAUUACAUCAUUGCAGUUACUAUUAAUUAGAGCUACAUUUCUGUAUGUUAAACGCAUAGUUGUGACAUGUAAGCAGAGCGUGAAAGCUUUAUUGCAUUAUAAAAGGACCAGUUCGUGUAGCAUUGUCCCUCCAUUGUGCAUCUUCAGUCACUGAUUAUUAUUAUUGUUUUUAUUUUUAGGAAUUUUUGUCUUAAGUCUUUUCGUACACACGCAAUCUAAUUUUGUCUGAGUGAAUAUUUACUGUUUUUUAUUUAACUGCCAAGUAAAAAAGUGGUUAAGCAUGCCCGUAAAAAGCACUUUAUUGAAUUGGUUGCAUUUAUGGAAUCUUUUGUUUUGGUUUUCUUAAAAUUCUUAAUGCGUUAAUUAUAGAUUGGAUGAAGUGCUUUUUUGAUUGUUUGUUUUGGCCUUGAUUUAUGGAGUGACAAACUUCUGUUUAUUAAUUUUGUUCUUUUAUUUACAGGGAAUCAGGAGCCAGGACUGGUAGCAGGGAGUUAAAGGAGUCAUGGAAUAAAAUGAGGUAGGUUUAAAUUCUUUCUGACAUAUUUUAAGUUGAUCCAAAUGACUAAAGGCAGCAUAAAGGAUGCUGCAUCUUUGUGACGAUACCUGUUUAAGUGUCUUAGUAACCAUAGCAGCUUCUUCAGUGUUAUCCCCCUCAUGUUAAGACCUACAUGUUUGCUGCUUUGUCUGUUAUUAUAUGAGCUGAAAACCCAAGGCUGCACAAGUCUGGUUUUAUAGAGAAGCUGUUUUCCUCAUCCACUUCAUCAGUGUUUGUUUGGGACAAUGUGACUGUGUGACAUUGUGUUUUGUUUGACCAAGUGCAGAAAGUAAACAAAGCCGAAUGAACGUGCGACAAUUAAAUCAUGAAAUAUGCACAUCUUAAUUUCGGACCAUCAGAGUUCCUAAAUAUUCAUUUUGUCUGACCAUCUCUCUGAAAAUAUUUAGUUUAUUAAAAAGCUACAAAACUUAUAAAUAAAUGAUCAAAUGAAAGGGUGAACUUUUUUUGCUCAGAAACAGUGGAAUAGUAUGUUGAUUUAUGGUCUAGGUUUAAGGCAUAUAAUCUUUAUUUUUGGACAUUUCUUUGAUGAAUCUGAAGUUGGGUUUUUUCACUGCAGUGAUGAUCUGUCGUCCCUUUUUAUCCACACUGUGACAUCCAUCCUCUUGUCUCAGAGCGCCUCAGUGUCCCCUUAUACGAAUAAAGCUCUGUCAUCAGCAGGGCAGGCAGCCAGUCCACACAGACCACCGUGCAGCUGAAUAAACCCCUGCUUAUUGAUGUGGUGGGGAAAUUGUGUUUUUCUGGGCCUGUUGGGGGGCUGACAGUGGAAGCCACGGCCGGAUUAGAAGUGGCAGAGGGCUGUGUGAGUGAGAAAUGAAAUCCGAUUUCCUGCUCUGUUUCGGGGCUGACUAUCAGGAAUAUUUUAAGCUGGAAGAAACAAUCUGUCUGCUCGGUGUGUCCGAGGAGCUCCACGCCAGAUUCUCUUUUCUCCUAUAGAAAACGAGGUGCUCUCUCCCGAUUUCCUGCCUAUCAAUGGCAUAAUACAGGGUUCAAGCCGUGCUGGCUAAGGGUUAAGGAAUCAAUUUGAGUAAGGGUUAAGAUGAUGUUUCAGCUGGAAUCUCAAGGGCUUAUUCCAUCUCCUCUGCACAUUACCCAGAGUGCAUCAGCGGGCGAAUCUGCUGCACAAGUAAAAAGGGGAGCCAGACAAAAGGGGAAAGGGAUAGAGGCUUCAGUAACAGAGCAGAGCAUGUGAUAGUAGAUCUGUUUGUGCUGAAAUUCAAUCACCUCCAAACAUAGAGAGGAGACAGAAUAGUCCUCCAUCUUCAUCUCAUCUUAAAAUAACCACAGGUUUUUCUCCUGAUGGCUCAGCCUCAGGUGUGCAGACGUGAGGGGGCAGGCGAGGUCACAGAGGGGGGGGCGCUGGGAGGUAAGUGGGUGGUGGGGUUGGCGAUCCAGGCUAAAGGUGAAGGCAGGGGUCGAGAGACGGUCGGUUGGGUUACAGAAAAAUCCCGUUACACCUGACUGCCUCUCCCUCCCCCACCUUGACCCCUUCCCUGCCCCCUGUGUCCUUCACGGCCUCAUGCCUGGCUGAGCAGUGCACUGUGGGAGGCCAGUAUGUGCAGGCAGUCGGCUCAGACAUUCAUCUCUCCUGUUUCAGGGGUGUCAGCAAAAACAAUAAGACGCAUGUUCAGCAGAUAAUGCUUACAUGGCUGUCGCAUGAUUUAUCCAAGGACACAACGCAGCAGAGAAAAAGUUAUUGAUCAGUUUUUUAAAAGCUCUAACAUUUACAGUUUAGCUUGUUGUGGAGAUUUAUUUUUACAAGAACUCUAAAAAGAGAGUAAAAAAUUUGAAUAAAAUUGCAUCAAAAAUCAAGGGAUGCCAAAAUGGCAAAAAUGUAAACUGACGUAUUGAAACAAGGCUAGAGUAAACUAUCACACGUGUGAAGGUCCAUUGCUGCAUUUUAAUGUGCAUUUUCUACCUUUUUAUUUCUGCUGUCAUGAAUCUUAUAAACUCUAAAGCUUCUGUUGAAACCAAACAUUAACUCUCUGCUUUGUAUUUCCACUUGUUUGUCCUGUGAUGAUGGUUUAUCUCUCUUCCCGUCACUCUCACUUUAAUGUUAUUCACAAAAAGGUAGAAAGUAAACAGACUUGAAAGAAGUUUUUCCAUAUUUUUAAAAAAAUCUGACAGUGCUUUAUUUUCACAGCUAAAUUAGGCACUUGAGUGAAUAUUAUACCUCUUAUGAAACCACAUUACAGGGAAAUGAAGGACUAGCGUUUACCGUUGCAUCAAGGCUCUUCAGAGAUUAGCUGCGUCUUCCUGUCCUCUCGUUCAUGGACACUCGUCUUUAAUCUGAGCAGUAGUUAUUAUCCUGUCAGCCAUUAUCUGCUCUGUAAAUUAUAUCCUGCACUUUCUCGGUGCCCCGCCUUUCUGCUAUACAACAUAACAGUGAGAGUCUGGGGUCCUUCAGAAUUAUGACGUAGUUCAUUUCCAUCGAAGCACAUCAACCUUUUGUCAUCCAUCAUCCUCAUAAUCACCGCUCUUACAUCGCUUAGUUUAGCUCUAACGUCCACAUUAAGAUGGGAGUUUAAAUACGAGCAGGUUGGAAACCACACCCAACCCGGUCCUGUUAAAGAACCAGCUUCUCCCUUUUUUAAGAAACCCCAAAGUCAAGGUGGAGUAUCAAUUAAAUUAGAUCCCCGGUGCACAAACAUUUGUUGCUUUUGAAAAAAAUUGAAUUGCCAGCCAAGUGUUAAAAUUUAGCAGUCAGCUCAUCAGCACCUUAGACCACCUCCAUCAACCUCAGUCAUACUGAACAUCCUCAUGCAGCUGUCCUCAUGUCCACAUAAGAGCAUUGAAGGUGUUUUAACUGGACCUUUAAAGCAUGUACAGAUGAUUUCUGGUUGCCAUAGCUCCUCACCCGUGUAGUUUAUAUACUGCUUAGUAGGGAUGGGUGAUAUAGGCUAAAAAAUUUAUCAUGAUAGGUUUUGCCAUUCUGGUGUUAAAGAUAAAAGUCCUAAUAAAAAUAUAUUAUGAUUCAAGUCUAUAUUUUUGACUCAUUUUGUCUUGAGAGCACCAGUUGGAGUAGUCAAAUAAGAUACUUGACCACAAGUUUGAGUGGUAGGUUGUGGAGAAAACUAACGACAUCAAACAAGUCUCAAAUGUGAAAACAUUUUCAAUAUUUGUUAAAAAAUCUUAUUGCACAGAGUGAACAGCAGCAGAUCCACUGUCUGAUGUCAGGCAUACCUGAUUGGACUCAUCUAAACCCCAAUCUUGAAGGAAAUCCUUCAUGUGGAGCCUCGUUCAGUAACGAGCUGCUCAGAAACGUCUUCAUUACCUUUAGCCGUGUUUCUUUGUUAUUCUGCUCUGUGUGGGCUAUGGCUGCGAGUCCGUCACUCACACUUAGGUAAAGAACUUGCAUUUAUUGUAUUCAUCAUGAGAUGGCAAAUAUUCAUCAUGAAGGACUUUUCUGACGAUAUAUCGCAAAUGAUAAUUAAUGGCCUAUCCCUACUGCACAGGUGUGUCAGGUCUGUGCAGUAAUGUAUAAUUAAAUUAUCAAAGACCUAUAAAACAAUCAAAUUAAAAAGUAAUGUUUCUCUGAGAUGGUCCUUAUUUAGUGUCGUAUUUUUGCAGUCGGAAUUCAUUUGCAAUCGUUCCUACUUAAAUCUGUGUGUGAGAGAGGGAGAGAGUGUGUGACAGGCCGAGAUUUGUUGCCUCUCUACUUACCUGACUCCUCAGUGCUCUUACUGAGCAUCCUCCAACCCUCCAUCACUGACAGCCCUCUCCCUCUCUCUAUCUCUCUUCCUCUUCCUUUCACUCGGAGCAGCAUAAAGGGUUGAAACAUGGUGGUUUUCAAAAGUUAAGAUUUCAGAAAGUAAAAGUACAAAAUUAUGUUGACAUGUUCAGUUUUUGUCUUUUUUGUAAAUCUCGCCGACCUGCCUCUUUACUCCUAAUCCGAAGCUCUCUCUCAUCCUCUGCUGUCCACGUUGCUCGUGCUCGCUGUUUCUAGCUCCAGCUUACUCCUCUAAAGCCUCGUACCCCUCAGACAUGAAAUCCUCCAGCUUUUCACCAGAUGCCUGGGACUUUCCCUUCUUACUGCAAAACCCAUCAGCACACCUGUUCCUAAUUCUCAUUGGUGCUGCAGUAAUCUGAGUUACCCCUCUUGUCGUAAACCUUACACCUAAAGCUGGCCUUAUACUAGAUGGUUUUAGACCAGACCCAAUGAUCAAGGAGGGAUGAUCUGAUCGAGGCUUGUUAUAUCCGAUUAUCUAUAUAUUUCAAAUGAUGAAAAAGGGCCAGGCGAACAUUUUGUUAUUCCCCACAGGUGUAGCUAAACCGCACACACAUACACCCUCAAACACACACAGAUCCUGUGUUUUUCACACCUGCUCCCCUCCCCUCUCCUCCAAAGCCAUCAGCUCAGUGUAAGCCCCUCUCCAGCAUGGAGCCAAAGAGUUCAGUGAUGCCAAGCUGAGUCCCUUAAUAACCCCACAGCUCUCUUGCCUGUUCCCUGUGCCAGCCCUGCUGCGAAUGACAAGUCAUGAUUGUGGGCCCCGCCGAGACAUGUGGUCCACUUCCUGUACGACCAGAGGGGGUGGGACUGGUCAGAUGUGAGCUAUCAGUCUUACCUGUGGUGAGGAAAGACACAUGGAAACACUGUGGAGUCUAUAAAUGCAGGGCUGCUAGAUCAGUGUGGAGGAUUACUGGGAAAUGAGAAGAGCAUUAGGAGCCCUGUGGAUCAAGGUUUAAGUACACUGGACAGACUUUUUAGUUUGCAAAUUAACCCAAAACAGCAGAUUUCCGUCUGUCAGGAUAGAUCCGACCCAAACCGCCCUCGGCGUGUGUGUGGGGGGACCGGAGCGUUUUGUAAAUGACAGGAAAGUUCUUUAGCGCUUGAGGGUCAAAGUAAUACUUAAGUGCAGCCCAUAAAAAUUUGUUUUUUAAAUGAGGAGAAGUGUCAGAGUGCCCAAAAUCCAAAGUUAUCACACUCCAGAGGCCAUAAAGUCAUUUUACAACCAAUAAACUUUGAACAUGAUGAGGAAGUCAAACGCAAACAGAAACUUUUAACUGCAGGAGAAUCAUCUAGAAACACCAAUGGCACCAAAAUAGACUCAGAGGCAGCAGUUUCUCCUUCACCCCGUCCCGAUCGACUUUUUAUUUUUACAGUGAGUGGCUGUGGCGUAGGCGGAUUUUACUCAUCAGUUCCAGGGUCAGGUUCAGUCUGUAAAACCAGGAAUAUAACCUCCCUUCACCCGCCUCAGGGGCUCGAAGCAAACCUGAAAGAGUGUUAUUUGUAUGUCUUUUCACCAGGAGACUUCUUGUCUUAUGAUGGUCAACAUGUGAAGCCUUUUUGUCCAGACCAGAACAAAACAAAAAUAGAAAAAACUCAGGAAAUGCUUGUUAUUUCUUGACUUGUGUAAUAUUAAAAACACAAACCUUAGGCUGUAGAUAGUAGGAGUGAUGCCGUACCUUUGUCCUCUGUGCCCUCCUCCCCCUCGCUCCUCCUCCCCUCUCAUCUCCCAGUAAAGGCAGCAGAGCUGUGUGGUGAUGGAUAAGGCCCGAGUGCCUUAAAGGCUCUGCGGGGGUUGAUGAAUUCACCUCUCCUCCUCUGAGUGCGAUCUGACCCCAGGCUCAGAAUGAACUCCGGCAUCUCAACAACUAAGAGAGCUUCAGCCCUGCACACAGGAACAUGCAGCCCUGUGGCCAGAACACAUGCACGUCCUGCAGCAGGAGGAGGAAACACGAUCUGUGUUUUAAAACCUUCACUUAACCUCCCCACAGUUUCUCUGAGAUAAAACUUAGUUUUUCAGCUCGUGCAAACUUAAAAAAGACACGAACAGUGUUGUUUUUAUUGUAUUUGAACUGUGACUGAUGAGCAGUGAGUUUUUGUUUUUAACUUUGCUCUUGUUUUUGAUUCCUAUCUCUGAGAUAAAUGGCAGAGUACCAUGCUGCA